UACGUAGGGUCCGAGCGUUGUCCGGAAUUACUGGGCGUAAAGAGCUCGUAGGUGGUUUGUCGCGUUGUUCGUGAAAACUCACAGCUUAACUGUGGGUGUGCGGGCGAUACGGGCAGACUUGAGUACUGCAGGGGAGACUGGAAUUCCUGGUGUAGCGGUGGAAUGCGCAGAUAUCAGGAGGAACACCGGUGGCGAAGGCGGGUCUCUGGGCAGUAACUGACGCUGAGGAGCGAAAAGCGUGGGGGAGCGAACAGG
rnacentral:rRNA from 1 species